GAGCCCAGCUCUGGAUCCCCAGGUUUUCUCCCGUGUGGAUCAGCACUGAGCACCUACAGCUCAUCAUGGAGCUCUGGCUGAACUGGGUUUUCCUUGUUGCUGUUUUCAAUGGUGUCCAGGCUGAGGUGCAGCUGGUGGAGUCUGGUGGAGGUUUAGUGCAGCCUGGCGGGUCCCUGAAACUCUCCUGUGCAGCCUCUGGAUUCACCUUCAGUAACUACUGGAUGCACUGGAUCCGCCAGGCUCCAGGAAAGGGGCUGGAGUGGAUCACAAGUAUUAACCCUGAUGGUAGUAGUAUAUACUACGCAGAAUCUGUGAAGGGCCGAUUCACCACCUCCAGAGACAACGCCAAGAACACACUGUAUCUGCAAAUGACGAAACUGAAAACUGAGGACACGGCCGUGUAUUACUGUACGAGAGACACAGUGAGGGGAUGUCAGUGUGAGCCCAGACACAAACCUCCCUGCAGGGUCUCUUACGGCCAGCAGGGGGCGCCGGUAAUACAGAAGAACCAAGACUGGUUUUCCACGGAGUUGAGAAUUGUUUUCCUCUUAGAAUCUGAGACUUCAUUUCAACUUAAAACUUACUGCCAGAUACUCCUAGUUCAUAUAUCUGCCCCUGCCCCUGAGGCCUCUUGUUAG